AUUUGAAAUCUGGCGUCUUCGACGUCCGAGUUGUAAUUUGAAGAAGGCGACUUUGUAGCUGGUCCUUGUCUAUGUUCCUUGGAACAGGACGUCAUAGAGGGUGAGAAUCCCGUGUGGCGAGGAUCCCAGUUAUUUGUAAAGUGCUUUCGACGAGUCGAGUUGUUUGGGAAUGCAGCUCUAAGUGGGUGGUAAAUUCCAUCUAAAGCUAAAUAUUGGCGAGAGACCGAUAGCGAACAAGUACAGUGAUGGAAAGAUGAAAAGAACUUUGAAAAGAGAGUGAAAAAGUACGUGAAAUUGUUGAAAGGGAAGGGCAUUUGAUCAGACAUGGCGUUUGCUUCGGCUUUCGCUGGGCCAGCAUCAGUUUUAGCGGUUGGAUAAAUCCUCGGGAAUGUGGCUCUGCUUCGGUAGAGUGUUAUAGCCCGUGGGAAUACAGCCAGCUGGGACUGAGGAUUGCGACUUUUGUCAAGGAUGCUGGCGUAAUGGUUAAAUGCCGCCCGUCUUGAAACACGG
rnacentral:rRNA from 1 species